UACAGAGGUCCCGAGCGUUGUUCGGAUUCAUUGGGCGUAAAGGGUGCGUAGGCGGUGGGGCAAGUCUGAUGUGAAAUCCCGGGGCUCAACCCCGGAACUGCAUUGGAUACUGCCUUGCUUGAGUACUGGAGAGGGAACUGGAAUUUACGGUGUAGCAGUGAAAUGCGUAGAGAUCGUAAGGAAGGCCAGUGGCGAAGGCGAGUUCCUGGACAGUUACUGACGCUGAGGCACGAAGGCCAGGGGAGCAAACGGG
rnacentral:rRNA from 1 species